rnacentral:rRNA from 1 species
UAGAACGUUGAUCCUGGCUCAUAACGAACGCUGGCGGCAGGCUUAACACAUGCAAGUCGAGCGCCCCGCAAGGGGAGCGGCAGACGGGUGAGUAACGCGUGGGAACGUACCCUUUGCUACGGAAUAGCUCCGGGAAACUGGAAUUAAUACCGUAUGUGCCCUACGGGGGAAAGAUUUAUCGGCAAAGGAUCGGCCCGCGUUGGAUUAGCUAGUUGGUGGGGUAAUGGCCUACCAAGGCGACGAUCCAUAGCUGGUCUGAGAGGAUGAUCAGCCACAUUGGGACUGAGACACGGCCCAAACUCCUACGGGAGGCAGCAGUGGGGAAUAUUGGACAAUGGGCGCAAGCCUGAUCCAGCCAUGCCGCGUGAGUGAUGAAGGCCUUAGGGUUGUAAAGCUCUUUCACCGGAGAAGAUAAUGACGGUAUCCGGAGAAGAAGCCCCGGCUAACUUCGUGCCAGCAGCCGCGGUAAUACGAAGGGGGCUAGCGUUGUUCGGAAUUACUGGGCGUAAAGCGCACGUAGGCGGGCAUUUAAGUCAGGGGGUGAAAUCCCAGAGCUCAACUCUGGAACUGCCUUUGAUACUGGGUGUCUUGAGUAUGGAAGAGGUAAGUGGAAUUCCGAGUGUA